AGCGGCGAACGGGUGAGUAACACGUAGGUGAUCUGCCCAUCAGACGGGGACAACGAUUGGAAACGAUCGCUAAUACCGGAUAGGACGAAAGUUUAAAGGUGCUUCUGGCACCGCUGAUGGAUGAGCCUGCGGCGCAUUAGCUAGUUGGUAGGGUAAAGGCCUACCAAGGCGACGAUGCGUAGCCGACCUGAGAGGGUGAACGGCCACACUGGGACUGAGACACGGCCCAGACUCCUACGGGAGGCAGCAGUAGGGAAUCUUCGGCAAUGGGCGAAAGCCUGACCGAGCAACGCCGCGUGAAUGAUGAAGGCCUUCGGGUUGUAAAAUUCUGUUAUAAGGGAAGAACGACUUUAGUAGGAAAUGGCUAGAGUGUGACGGUACCUUAUGAGAAAGCCACGGCUAACUACGUGCCAGCAGCCGCGGUAAUACGUAGGUGGCGAGCGUUAUCCGGAAUUAUUGGGCGUAAAGAGCGCGCAGGUGGUUGAUUAAGUCUGAUGUGAAAGCCCACGGCUUAACCGUGGAGGGUCAUUGGAAACUGGUCGACUUGAGUGCAGAAGAGGGAAGUGGAAUUCCAUGUGUAGCGGUGAAAUGCGUAGAGAUAUGGAGGAACACCGGUGGCGAAGGCGGCUUCCUGGUCUGUAACUGACACUGAGGCGCGAAAGCGUGGGGAGCAAACAGGAUUAGAUACCCUGGUAGUCCACGCCGUAACGAUGAGUGCUAAGUGU
rnacentral:rRNA from 1 species